CACCUGAUCCUCAAGCCCUGAACCCUGCUGUCUGCUGCUGACCUACUGACCUCACAGUUUGUGCUCCAGACCCAGUGAGUCUCCAGCCUCAGAAACCCUCCUGGUCCACACAAUCAAGUGUUUGAGGUCCCUGAGAAGCAGAAGGUGUUUGCUGUGUCCUGAAUGGCAAGAGAGCUGAGGUCUCUCUGGACGUGAUUCACACUGGGACUUCAUUGAUGGCUUUCUCCUUCGCAUGCAGCAAGAACAAGGGAAUCCCCACGCAGAAUUCAGCAAAAAGAAUUUGAUCAAUUCUGUUCUCAACAUCUUUUCUGCCAGGAUGGAGACAACCAGCACC